UACGUAGGUGGCAAGCGUUAUCCGGAUUUAUUGGGCGUAAAGGAAACGCAGGCGGUCUUUUAAGUCUGAUGUGAAAGCCUUCGGCUUAACCGGAGUAGUGCAUUGGAAACUGGGAGACUCGAGUGCAGAAGAGGAGAGUGGAACUCCAUGUGUAGCGGUGAAAUGCGUAGAUAUAUGGAAGAACACCAGUGGUGAAAGCGGCUCUCUGGUCUGUAACUGACGCUGAGGUUCGAAAGCGUGGGUAGCAAACAGG
rnacentral:rRNA from 1 species